CCCUUUGUGGUGCAGUUGGUAUUACAGGCUGUAAUGGAGUUUAUGGAUCACCGGUUAGUCACCAGUUCGACUCUGGUCGAAGGGA